rnacentral:rRNA from 1 species
UACGUAGGGGGCAAGCGUUGUCCGGAUUUAUUGGGCGUAAAGAGCGUGUAGGCGGUCAGGUAGGUCCGUUGUGAAAACUCGAGGCUCAACCUCGAGACGCCGAUGGAAACCAUCUGACUAGAGUCCGGAAGAGGAGAGUGGAAUUCCUGGUGUAGCGGUGAAAUGCGCAGAUAUCAGGAAGAACACCCGUGGCUAAGGCGGCUCUCUAGUACGGUACUGACGCUGAGACGCGAAAGCCGUGGG